GACGCCGUCACGUCGGUAAUACCUGAUAAUAGUACGACUCCUGGAUCUCUAGCAAAAAACGAAGCAACAGAUUUAACCUUACUUUGGAUCGGUUUGGGUGUGGCUCUACUUAUUGUAUUGCUCAUAAUUAUAGCCGUUUUAAUUUACAUAUUGCAAAAGAAGCGCAAUGUUACUCCUAAGGUUAACGAUAAUCCCGAGACUGAUCAGGCGCCAGUCUACAGCUACGCAACUGCACCUGUAGUGUCCUGGGAAGAAGCGCACGCGCGGGCUGCAAACAACCGUCCGCUGCCGCGAUAUCAGACCGUUGUGCCCAGGCUGCCGCCACGAAAUGCCGAUCAAAAUGAAUACGAAUAUAUCGACCCUAUUAAUUUGAGGAGACGAAACCAACCAGAGUAGAGAAAAUGAUAAAAGCUCCUUUCAAAACGCCAUC